UAUAUAUCAUAGAAUCUAAUUGUUGGUCGAGACUACUACAAUCAGGUACCAAAAUAGCAGUUUUUGUGAUAUCCAGAUGGAUAGAGUGUAUUGGGAAGGCCUCCACAUCAAUGGGCUGUUUACUUCGGGGCAUAUAUCUUAAGGCUUACACAUUCAUCCAAGAAUUUAUUUUCCUCGGCCUUUCUCAUUUUAAUUUAGUUAAGUUACAUUUUACCCUUUAAUUAAUUUGUCGGGAAAAAAUUAAAAUGAGAAUGUUUAUCAUAGUGGAAUAAUUCUUCUGCUGUUGGCAAGAAAAGUCAAGACUUAUUGGGCAGUCACCUGUGGAACAACAUAAACUUAUUGGAUUUUAAAAUUUAUAUGCACUAUACACUGUAGACUUGUAAUAGAGGUAUAUACCUAAAUGGGCCUAAGAAAUUGUUACAUAACUUACAUUAUAAACAUCAAAGAGAAGAUUAAUGAGUAAGCAAUGUAGAAGUUGAAG
rnacentral:sRNA from 1 species